GGGUGGCUCAGUAGGUUGAGCAUCUGACUUCAGCUCAGGUCAUGAUCUUGAGUUCGUGGGUUCAAGCCCCCCCCC
rnacentral:tRNA from 1 species